GCGUAGCUACGUAGGCGCGUUCCCGCGAGCACUCGUUAAAACCUUCAGACUGCGCAGGUGGUAAGCUAAUGGAUCUGGCUUUGGACCCGAAGUCACACACACACACACACACAGCCCACUUCUUCUAUCUAACAGGAGGUGCCAGGAAAGAGUAGUGUUGUCUCCAGACAGAUCAUCUGAACACCAACACACAGUGUAGAGGGACACACAUAUUAAAACCAACC